UACGAAGGGGGCUAGCGUUGCUCGGAAUCACUGGGCGUAAAGCGCACGUAGGCGGCUUCUUAAGUCAGGGGUGAAAUCCUGGAGCUCAACUCCAGAACUGCCCUUGAUACUGAGGAGCUCGAGUCCGGAAGAGGUGAGUGGAACUGCGAGUGUAGAGGUGAAAUUCGUAGAUAUUCGCAAGAACACCAGUGGCGGAGGCGGCUCACUGGCCCGGUACUGACGCUGAGGUGCGAAAGCGUGGGGAGCAAACAGG
rnacentral:rRNA from 1 species